rnacentral:rRNA from 1 species
GCCAUUAGAGUUUGAACCUGGCUCAGAGCGAACGAUGGAGGCUAGGGCUAACACAUGCAAGACGAACGACAUCUCGGAAGAUGGAGGCUGACGGGUGAGUAACACGUUGGAACGUGCCUUUAGAUUCGGAAUGACUAAGGGAAACUUGUGCUAAUACCGAAUGUGUCAUUCUGGGGAUAGAUUUAUCGACUUUAGAGUGGCCCGGGUUUUGCUCUCUAGUUGGUGAGGUAAAGGCUCACCAAGGCGACGAUCAGUAGCUGGUCUGAGAGGAUGAUCAAGCACAUUGGAGCUGAGACUCGGUCGAUGCUCCUACGGGAGGCAGCAGUAGAUUAUCUUUCGCAAUGGGCGAAAACUCCUCGGGGAGGCAGCAGGUGGAUAAUGUGCGUAAUAGGAUUAAGAAUGACGCAGACAUGCCGCGUUAAUGAUGAAAGUCUUAGGAGUGUAAAAUUCUUUCUUCGGGGCAGAUAAUGSGGUUAUACGGAGAAGAAGACCGGUCUAAGUUCGUGCCAGCAGCCGCGGUAAUACGAAGGGGGCUAGCGUUGCUCGGAAUUACUGGGCGUAAAGGGAGCGUAGGCGGACAUUUAAGUCAGGGGUGAAAUCCCGGGGCUCAACCUCGGAAUUGCCUUUGAUACUGGGUGUCUUGAGUAUGAGAGAGGUGUGUGGAACUCCGAAUGUAGAGAUGAAAUUCGUAGAUAUUCGGAAGAACACUAGUGGCGAAGGGGUGGAAUGGCUUAUUACUGUCAUUGAGGCAAGAAAGGUUGGGGAGCAAGAAGGAUUAGAUACCCUGGUAAGUGUGG